rnacentral:rRNA from 1 species
GACGAAGCGUUCGAACGGUGUUCGGAAUCACUGGGCUUAAAGGGCGCGUAGGCGGGUUACCAAGUCCGGGGUGAAAUCUUUCGGCUUAACCGGAAAAUGGCCUUGGAUACUGGUGGUCUUGAGGGAGGUAGGGGCAUGUGGAACUUCCGGUGGAGCGGUGAAAUGUGUUGAUAUCGGAAGGAACGCCUGUGGCGGAAGCGUCGUGCUGGGGCUCUGCUGACGCUGAGGCGCGAAAGCCAGGGGAGCAAACGGG